rnacentral:tRNA from 1 species
GGCUGUAGCUCAGUGGUAGAGUGCUUGCCUAGCACAUGUAAGGCCCUGGGUUCAAUUCUCAGCACCA